ensembl:lncRNA
ACAUUAAUAUUUAACAGCAGUGGGUUUGGCAGAUCAAUAGUAAUCGUUCCUUUUUCAGUCAAUCGAGAACCAGUUUUCCGAGGUGAGCACAUGUAGUAAAUGUACUAAAGACAAUGACCUUUAGCUACAUCAUCAUAAUAUCUUUAUCUAAAUCAAAGUUGUAAGAGAGGAUCGUUCCACAUUUUGUUAAAAGUGAGAACAUCUCACUUUUCAGUACAUGCCAUUUUGUCUAUGUACUUCACUGAACCCGAGAUUGUCACACAAUUAAACAAUCUGAGAGGAGACUUGGUAUAAACCAUAACACAGUGAAACAAAUCAGUCUGAGUUUAACUUGUUGACUCUAUUGCUUGUUUUUAUUGAAAAUGUGUAACUACAAUAUUUGGUUGAAUUGCUUCCAUACUGGUUAUACUGGACAGAUCUAUCAAAUAAUACUGACAAGGUUUUGCAUCUCAAACAAAAACGGUUUAGGCACUGUUUUGUUCUAAAAUACAAGACAGAUAAUCUAGCAGUUAGAAAGUGUCAAGUCAGUUUUACAAGUCUGCCAUCUAGUGGUAUCUGGUCAGUAGCCUUCUACAACAGGGAAAAAAAAAUAAUAAUAUAUGUAUAUAUAUAUAUUUUUUUUUUAUUUAUAAUGCUCUACUUUGUGUUAUAGCCUAUUCACUUGGCGGUAAAUUACAAAAAAACAAACACUAAUGUUUAAGUGUUCCAAAAAACAGCAGUGGCGGCAAAUUUGACAUCAUUCUCUCUUCUGACUGCUUAAAAAAACAAUCUCUCUAUAUUUUUUCAUUCUUUUGGAAAAUCCUGAAAUGCUGUCGUGGAUUUAGAGUAAAUAGGAAUACAAAAUGUUUUGCCGUCAUCUCCUGUUCACCACUCUUGAAGUUUAAUCAAUUAUGACGACUUCCGCUUCUGAGAACGCCGAAAAUGUGAAAAGGGUCCAUUAAUUCAAUUAAUUUACUGUUUUAUCGUGAAGAUCUAGGGCACAGAACUUUAUAAUGCAUACAAAAGUUAAUAAAGUAUAUUAACAGAUGAGAAAUACA